GCAGGUAUGUCCAAUCAUAUCAUGAUUUAUUUUUUAUUGACAGAGAAGUAUAUCAGAUUAUUUCACCUUUAAACCAUUCUCAGAAAGUUUAAGCGGAAACUUUUUACAGAAUCAUACAAUUUUCAGACUAUGUGGAUUCCAAUAAAACCAGUUUGUAAAACACACCAGUGUUUACAAUUAUAGCACACAUUUAUGCAAAGCUAUUUAGUGUUGGUGAAGAAAUCCAAAUUCUUCCCAAAUUUUAUGAUUUAUUCUGAAUUCUAUUCUUUGAAUUUAAAAGGUGAAUUGACAUAUCACCUGUUUCAAUUAUCAAGUUUUUAAUGCCUUUCUGAAGUUUUAAAUAGCAUUUAAUACAAAAAUUCCAAUUUUGAAAUAAAUGUAGGUGACAAAUGAGUUUUUAAAUGAGUCAUUAGCCAAAGAAAAGAGUGGGCCCCACUUUCUUAUACACUCUGCCACAAUCAACACCAUGCACAUCUCUGGAAGCUGGGCUUUUUGUUUUUAAGCAACAUGCUGAGACCCACACCUCAUGGCCAAGCUUUUUAUCGGUUCUUUAACCUGAGGCUUGCCUUUGUCAACCCAAAGUUGCAACAGAGCAAGACGUUACUUAAUGUUACUUGUAUUUAAAUUUCAGCAUCUAUUUGCUGCCAUCAGCUAAACUGAAACUCUUCAUUUAAAACAUAGGCAGUGGUUCACGCCUGCAAUCCCAGCACUUUGGGAGGCCGAGGCGGGCAGAUCACUUGAAGCCAGGAGUUCAAGACCAGCCUGGGCAACAUAGUGAAACGCUGUCUCUACUAAAAAUACAAAAACUAGCCAUGUGUGGUGGCAGGUGCCUGCAAUCCCAGCUACUUGGGAGGCUGAGGCAGGAGAAUCACCUGAACCCAAGAGGUGGAGGUUGCAGUGAGCUAAGAUCACGCCACUGCACUCCAGCCUGGGUGACAGAGCAAGAGCACUGUCUAAAAACAAAAACAAAAACAAAAACACACAGAAGCGUUCCAACUCACUGGCCCUCCAUAAUCUAGGCCUGAUCCGGGGUGAGGCCAAGAAAAGGGGAAAUCCAUUCCAUUUUGAUCUAUUUCCAACUGCAAGACUCAAAAGUUCAAGUAAGACAGGGCACAUGGCUCAUGCCUGUACUCCCAGCACUUUGGGAGGCUGAAGCGGGCAGAUCACCUGAGGUCUGGAAUUCAAGACCAGCCUGGCCAACAUGGUAAAACUCAGUCUCUACUAAAAAUACAAAAAUUAGCUGGGAAUAGUGCCAGGUGCCUGUAAUCCCAGCUACUUAGGAGUCUGAGACAGGAGAAUCGCUUGAAGCCGGGAAGCAGAGGUUGCGGUGAGCCAAGAUCGCACCACUGCACUCCAGCCUGGGCGACAGAGCAAGACUCCAUCUCAAAAAAAAGAAAAAAA
rnacentral:lncRNA from 1 species